GACGAACGCUGGCGGCAUGCCUAAUACAUGCAAGUCGAGCGAACAGAUGAAGUGCUUGCACUUCUGACGUUAGCGGCGAACGGGUGAGUAACACGUAAGGAAUCUACCUAUAAGCGGGGGAUAACAUUCGGAAACGGGUGCUAAUACCGCAUAAUAUCUUCUUCCGCAUGGAAGAAGAUUGAAAGACGGCUCUGCUGUCACUUAUAGAUGACCUUGUGGUGCAUUAGUUAGUUGGUGGGGUAACGGCCUACCAAGACGAUGAUGCAUAGCCGACCUGAGGGGGUGAUCGGCCACAUUGGGACUGAGACACGGCCCAAACUCCUACGGGAGGCAGCAGUAGGGAAUCUUCCGCAAUGGGCGAAAGCCUGACGGAGCAAUGCCGCGUGAGUGAAGAAGGCCUUCGGGUCGUAAAACUCUGUUAUAAGAGAAGAACAAAUUGUAGAGUAACUGCUACAGUCUUGACGGUAUCUUAUCAGAAAGCCACGGCUAACUACGUGCCAGCCGCCGCCGUAA
rnacentral:rRNA from 1 species